rnacentral:misc_RNA from 1 species
GAUGAAGAACGUAGUGAAAUGCGAUAAGUAGUGUGAAUUGCAGAAUUCAGUGAAUCAUCGAAUCUUUGAACGCACAUUGCGCCCUUUGGUAUUCCUUAGGGCAUGCCUGUUCGAGCGUCAUUUAAACCUUCAAGCUCAGCUUGGUGUUGGGUGACUGUCCGCUUCACCGCGGACUCGCCUCAAAAUUAUUGGCGGCCGGUACAUUGGCUCUCGAGCGCAGCAGAAACGCGUAACUCGAGGUCCUCGUGCUGGCUCCCAGAAGCUAUCUUCACAAUUUUGACCUCGGAUCAGGUAGGGAUACCCGCUGAACUUAAGCAUAUCAAUAAGCGGAGGA